AGAGUUUGAUCCUGGCUCAGGACGAACGCUGGCGGCGCGCCUAACACAUGCAAGUCGAACGGAGUCAAGAGGAGCUUGCUUUUCUUGACUUAGUGGCGAACGGGUGAGUAACGCGUGAGUAACCUGCCCUGGAGUGGGGGACAACAGUUGGAAACGACUGCUAAUACCGCAUAAGCCCACGGCCCGGCAUCGGGCUGGGGGAAAAGGAUUUAUUCGCUUCAGGAUGGACUCGCGUCCAAUUAGCUAGUUGGUGAGGUAACGGCCCACCAAGGCGACGAUUGGUAGCCGGACUGAGAGGUUGAACGGCCACAUUGGGACUGAGACACGGCCCAGACUCCUACGGGAGGCAGCAGUGGGGGAUAUUGCACAAUGGGGGAAACCCUGAUGCAGCGACGCCGCGUGGAGGAAGAAGGUUUUCGGAUUGUAAACUCCUGUCGUUAGGGACGAUAAUGACGGUACCUAACAAGAAAGCACCGGCUAACUACGUGCCAGCAGCCGCGGUAAAACGUAGGGUGCAAGCGUUGUCCGGAAUUACUGGGUGUAAAGGGAGCGCAGGCGGACCGGCAAGUUGGAAGUGAAAACUAUGGGCUCAACCCAUAAAUUGCUUUCAAAACUGCUGGCCUUGAGUAGUGCAGAGGUAGGUGGAAUUCCCGGUGUAGCGGUGGAAUGCGUAGAUAUCGGGAGGAACACCAGUGGCGAAGGCGGCCUACUGGGCACCAACUGACGCUGAGGCUCGAAAGUGUGGGUAGCAAACAGGAUUAGAUACCCUGGUAGUCCACACCGUAAACGAUGAUUACUAGGU
rnacentral:rRNA from 1 species